GUUCAAAGUACACAAUAAAAAGUCCAUGGCCAAACACUGUAUGUGCUAGCACUACAAAGAUUACUGUGAGGAUCUGGAAUGAUUAUAGACAAGAUUGUAAUUUGUUUAAGUAAAUCGAAUGUGUUAUUUUAUUCAGCCUUUUAUGAAGAUCUAAUUAGUUUUAUUUAAGACAAAAUUAAAGUGUGUUCAAACUGAAUUUCCACACAUUUUAAAAAAUAAACAUUUGAUUAUGCCUGUUGUAAUAUCACUGAAAUUGAAACCGCCAUUAAUAUGCCCAAUAAUAGAGUAAUGUUUCAUUUUCAUGUUAUCUUUAACACAAUAGCUCAAUGCUAAUUAUGACACAUUAUUCAUUUUCAGGGUUACUUAGGCAGUAGAUGGUCCACUGAAAACACUUCUUGGGAUGUUGAUGAAAAGUAUUGGUUUUCUUAUCAACUGGACUACCUCUUAAUAUCAAAAAGACAGAAGAGAAGAACAUGUAGUGUGCAAGAAGAAUUGUCAAUUUCCAUAAAUUACACAUUAUGACUGAAAAAUACUAAAAAUCAGAAAACACUAGUCUUGUUGAACAGUUUGUCACAGAAAAGCAAUCUCUAUAGUAUUUGUAAAGUUGAUUAUCAAAAUAAAUUCUUGAUAAUAUUGA